rnacentral:rRNA from 1 species
CCUACGGGGGGCAGCAGUGGGGAAUAUUGCACAAUGGGCGCAAGCCUGAUGCAGCCAUGCCGCGUGUGUGAAGAAGGCCUUCGGGUUGUAAAGCACUUUCAGCGGGGAGGAAGGCGGUGAGGUUAAUAACCUCAUCGAUUGACGUUACCCGCAGAAGAAGCACCGGCUAACUCCGUGCCAGCAGCCGCGGUAAUACGGAGGGUGCAAGCGUUAAUCGGAAUUACUGGGCGUAAAGCGCACGCAGGCGGUCUGUCAAGUCGGAUGUGAAAUCCCCGGGCUCAACCUGGGAACUGCAUUCGAAACUGGCAGGCUAGAGUCUUGUAGAGGGGGGUAGAAUUCCAGGUGUAGCGGUGAAAUGCGUAGAGAUCUGGAGGAAUACCGGUGGCGAAGGCGGCCCCCUGGACAAAGACUGACGCUCAGGUGCGAAAGCGUGGGGAGCAAACGGGAUUAGAUACCCGGGUAGUC